rnacentral:rRNA from 1 species
GACGAACGCUGGCGGCGUGCUUAACACAUGCAAGUCGAACGGAAAGGCCCUGCUUUUGUGGGGUGCUCGAGUGGCGAACGGGUGAGUAACACGUGAGUAACCUGCCCUUGACUUUGGGAUAACUUCAGGAAACUGGGGCUAAUACCGGAUAGGAGCUCCUGCUGCAUGGUGGGGGUUGGAAAGUUUCGGCGGUUGGGGAUGGGCUCGCGGCUUAUCAGCUUGUUGGUGGGGUAGUGGCUUACCGAGGCUUUGACGGGUAGCCGGCCUGAGAGGGUGACCGGCCACAUUGGGACUGAGAUACGGACCAGAGUCGUACGGGAGGCAGCAGUGGGGAAUAUUGCACAAUGGGCGGAAGCCUGAUGCAGAAACGCCGCGUGCGGGAUGACGGCCUUCGGGUUGUAAACCGCUUUCGCCUGUGACGAAGCGGGAGUGACGGUAAUGGGUAAAGAAGCACCGGCUAACUACGUG